rnacentral:lncRNA from 1 species
CUUGUAGAGCUGCCAGUCGUAGGAGAUGGACUCCGUGAAGCGCUCCACGGCGUCCGUGACGCCCUCCUCGAAGCGCCCGCCCCAAAGCUUCGUCUCCUUCUUCUCGUCGCCAUCCGAGUUCGCCACCGAAGUGGAGGCGGCCGCGACGGAAGGAAAAGCGGCGCUGCGGCCCCGGAGGGCGACGCGACAGGCGGAGAGGGCGGCGAGGCGGUCGCCGGGGAGGGAGGCGGGCGCCCGGAAGAUUAGGGAUUGAGAGGUGAAGGCCAUAGGGGGCGUCGCGCCGUUGUUUGACGCGGCGGCGCGGUAGGUGGUGGCCUGGUGGGUUACUGGGUUUAAGCGAAAUGCGAUUGUGUUACGUAGAACGGUCACAAUGAAGGUGCAGU